GAUGAACGCUGGCGGCGUGCCUAAUACAUGCAAGUCGAGCGAACAGACGAGGAGCUUGCUCCUCUGACGUUAGCGGCGGACGGGUGAGUAACACGUGGAUAACCUACCUAUAAGACUGGGAUAACUUCGGGAAACCGGAGCUAAUACCGGAUAAUAUAUUGAACCGCAUGGUUCAAUAGUGAAAGACGGUUUUGCUGUCACUUAUAGAUGGAUCCGCGCCGCAUUAGCUAGUUGGUAAGGUAACGGCUUACCAAGGCAACGAUGCGUAGCCGACCUGAGAGGGUGAUCGGCCACACUUGAACUGAGACACGGUCCAGACUCCUACGGGAGGCAGCAGUAGGGACUCUUCCGCAAUGGGCGAAAGCAUGACGGAGCAACGCCGCGUGAGUGAUGAAGGUCUGCGGAUCGUAAAACUCUGUUAUUAGGGAAGAACAAAUGUGUAAGUAACUAUGCACGCCUUGACGGUACCUAAUCAGAAAGCCACGGCUAACUACGUG
rnacentral:rRNA from 1 species